rnacentral:lncRNA from 1 species
UCUCUCUCUCUCUCUCUCUCUCUCUCUCUCUCUCUCUCUCUCUCUCUCUAUAUAUAUAUAUAUAUAUAUAUAUAUAUACAUAUAUAUAUAGUAUUUGAAACUUCUAAAAAUGGAUGAUCCAUACCAUUAAACAUGAUCUAGAGUAUUUGAAACUUCUAGAAAAUAAAUUUCGUAAUUUUUCAAAAUUAUUAUAAAGUCCAUCAAUCGGGUAUAAAAUGAAUGGUUAAAAUCGAAUGACAUCCUAAAAAUGGAUGAUCGGAUCCUUCAAUUUAAGAUUGGAGUUAUUGAUCUUUAUUUAGGUAGUAAAUAGAAUUUUCUAUAAAAAAUUCAACCUAUUCCGAUUCUUUUUCACAGUUAAACUAGCAAAUAUCUCAUACCGGCCGUUAAAAAUUGUCGAUUUUGUAAGCUUUUGAUCGUAAGGUAAAUGAUAUCGAAAAAUUAUAAAAUUUGAUUUCUAAAAGUUUUAAAUGCUCUAAAUAAUGUUUAACGGUAUGGAUUGUCGAUUCGGAAGCUCUAUCAUUGAAAACAACUUAUGAGUACGAAGGCCAUCGUACUCAUAAGAGUGUAGUAGCCGGUGUCUAUAUAUAUAUGUGUGUGUGUGUGUGUGUAGAGCUACUAUGUUAUUAGAAGUAUAGAGAGUUUUAUGCUUCCGACUUUUUGACCCUUAGAUCAAAAAUUGUACGGUUGGGAUGAUUGUGGUCCCUCCUAGGAUUGAGUAGUACCCCUAGGGUUGAGUGGUCCCCACAGGUUAAUAGUAUUAAUACAAAAGUUAAAAAUGAUCAAAGGGGUUGAUCUAAGGGCCAAAAAGUCGAAAGUACCAGAUCCUCUAUACUUCCGAUAGCAUAGUAGCUCUACUAUAUAUAUAUAUAUUGUUGAAAAAUCUUUCCAAUCAUUUAUUAAAAUAUUCUUUAAAAACAAUUCGAAAGUUUAAUUUAAGUUUUAGAAAAAUACCGAUGAAGAAAUUAAAUAAUAAAUAUUGUAAAGAAAAGGAUUAGAAAAGGCCUGUGAAUCGAGGAGUGCAGAGCACUGUCUUAGAAGCAAAAUUGCUCCUCUACGUGUGGGGCUUCACGGCAAUUACUUCCAGCGAUACAACGACCACGUUCCACGCCGUCAGCAUGCUUUUAAGGUGGCGCAAAAUGAAUUCAACAAACUUCAGAUCCAGCAAAUAUGAGAAAGCUUGGUAAAAAUUGACGCGUAAGAUCAAUGGCGAGAAAAUAGAAAAAGGUGAGGUAUAGGUAGGGUUUUGCUCUUAGAUAUGCUCGGGUUCAGGUUGAACUCAUACAACUUUCUCCAAUAUAUAUAACCAAGGCAAAUAUCUUAUUUCAACGCAUCAAUUCCGGGUAAAACAAGAUAAACCUAAGAUUAUGCGGAAUAUGGAUGCGGAUACGCAUUAGGAUAAAAAUAAAACCGAAAAAACAAAAAUAAAAUAAAAGAAACCAAGUGCAUUGACCGCAUGCGCCACCGCCCAUCCGGCCCGGCUUGUGCUUGUGCCGUGCGUGCGUUUAGUCGAGAGCAUAACUCUCAUUUUUUUCCAAUCAACUAGCUUGAGAAUAGAGCAAUGUAUAAAUAACAACAACACACCUUUAGUUUCUAAUGUGGGACUAAACCUCAUAUGUGAAAAUCUUAGUUGGACUCUCAGGUAAGGCCCAUCAAGUAUUGGGCUGCCCAAGAGGCCUUAUAAGUUUUAAAUCACCAAAAAUCAAAUAAAAUCUAGGCUAAAUUAUAGAAAACCUCCUUGUCAAAACCCGAUUUUUCACUUUCCCUUUCUGUCAUUUAAAACCUACACUUUGCCCCCUUAAAAAAUAAAAAAUAUUCACUUUGGACCCUGCCGUUAGUGUUCCGUCUAUAUCCCAUUAUUAUAUAUUUUUUUUAUAUCGAAAAUACCCUUCUACAGAUAAAGAAGGGUUGGAGGAGGAGAGGAAGAAUGAGAGGGCAUUUUGGUCAUUUUAUUAAUACUAUUAACACCGUACCCUUCUGUAAACAUUUUUUAGGGCUUUUUUUGCAUUUAGCCCCCUGACAAAUUUUUAUUUCAAAAAUAGCCCUAUCAAAAUUUAAUUUGCAAAAAUGGCUCUGGGCCUGCCACGCAUGCGCCAUGUCAGCGCCACGCGGGCAGGGCGGGGGCCAGUGUAUUAAGUUGAACACGGUGAAUGGUUCACCGUGUUUUUUAUUUGUAUUCCUUUUUUUUUGCCUUUUUCAAAAAUCCGAACCUGAACUCGAAAAUCAAAUUAAAACCCAAACCCGACGGAUUUUAAAAAUUCAUACCCAUAUACAUAUCCGACUAAAAACUCGAAACCCAAACCUAAACCCAACAGGUUUUAAAAAUCUAUACCGUUGGAUGAAGAUCUAAGGAAUAAAAAUUAUUAAAUAUUUCAUAUAUUGUAUAAAUAAAUAAAAAUAAAUUAUGUAUAUAUAUAAUUUAUUCGGAUUUGGGUUCGAAUAAUAUUUCGGAUAUCUAUACCCAUUGACAUUUCUACUCCCUAUUCCUCUUUUCAAUAUUUAUAUUGCAAAAAAUACGUACUCUAAAUACAGUGAACCAUUCACCGUGUCUAAAAUACGGUGAAUGGUUCACCGUGUUUAACUUAACUAUCGCCCUCAGCCCUGCCCGCGUGGCGCUGACGUGGCGCUUGCGUGGCAGGGGUAGGGCCAUUUUUGCAAAUAUAAAUUUGCUGGGGUUAUUUUUAAAAAUAAUUUUUUUCAGGGGUCCAAUUGCAAAAAAAGCUCCAUUUUUUAUUUUCUAGGGGGGCAAAGUGUAGAUUUUAAAUGACAGAAGGAAAAGUGAAAAAUCGGAUUUUGAUAGGGUGAUUUAAACUUACCCAAUCAACUUGGUAGUGAAUUAAACCAUCAA